AUGACUAUUACUGUUAACAUACCUGUAUAUAUUUGUUCCACAAGAGACCUCCCUUGCUUUCAUGCACAACAUUGCUACCUUCUCUAUGUUAUAUCAAUUUGUGGGCAUGUGAUCUACAUCCAAAGAGUUAUUCUUGUACUCUUUUACUCUCAGUUCGUGUUAUUGAUUAUAUAUAGGAAUAGAAAUUCAUUUCCUCUAAGGAUUUCAUCGGGCGCCCAAAUUCAUUAUUGGAACCAUCAUAUUCUGCAGACUGUAAGAUAUUUUCUAAGGAAUUCGAGUCAUGUACGUUCCAGUGAUUGUUACUUAGAAUCUGCAAUUUUAAUUCUCUGA